GAAGGUGGAAAACCUAAAAGUUAGGUUUCCUCUCCCUCCCUCUCUCUCCCCCUCCUAGCCGCCACUGACCAACAAGAGGGGUUGCCCCUCUUGUUUUGCCACCAACUAGUCACCGUUGAACCACCUAGCUGGUGGCCCAACCCCUUCUAGCCCAUCCAUCUUUGGGGUUAAGAAGCGUUGGUGUUGGAUGCUGGCAGCCACCUCCAAGUAGGAGAAUAGCACCCGCUGGCUAUUGUCUAUCGCCGAUAGCCUAACAGUUGGGUUGUGUUGGCUUCAGCUUCCAUCGGUCGUUCGAUGUCCCAAACUCACUGUCCCAUGUCGGCAAUGGGUUUUCCACCCUCCAUACAACGAUUAUAUGGUUGUUGUUCGCUUCAUAUUGUAUUGUUUUGUUAUAGCGGUCUCUCUUGAAAGACUUGUCUUCAUAUGGUGGCAAGUACCGAAGACGGACUUGAGGAUCGUGAGUUGGUGAAGUCAUCUCAACUAUUGCUCGAUGUGGAUACGGAUAGAGGCGAGGCUCGAUAGCGUCACUUGGUUGAUGUCAUUUCCUCUCCUCAUCAUUUAUCAGAUCGAUGAACUCAAGUAAGAAGACACACUGGAUUUCUUGGUUGACGAUCUGUAGAUCAAAAUUGGAAGGAGGCUUGGGAGUGAGGAGUUUAUCGGAAGUGGCUACAACAGUGGCUAUGAAGCUGUGGCACAGAUUUAGAGAGAAAAAAACUCCUUGGGCAGGUUUCCUUAAUCGAUUAUAUUGUGGUAUGGUUUCCCAGUCAUAGUUCCUUUAAGAUGGAAUGCUUCCCCUUGUUGGAGAAGGUUGAUUAAAGUUCGUUCCAUUGCUGAAAAGCAGAUUGGAUGGAUAAUAGGAAAGGACAAGUUGAAAUUCUGGUUUGACACUUGGUUAGUUAGCAGAUCUUUGUAUCAAUUCUGUGGUGUGACUAGAAUUUUAGAUGUUGUAGUAUCUGAGUUCUUGGUAGAGGCAGGCUGGGACAAGUGUAAACUGGAAAGGGCUAUGCCAAUUAAUCUUGCUGAGGAAAUUUCUACGAUCUCAGUAGAAGCAAGCGAAGUUGAUAAAUUAAUUUGAAAGUUAUCAAGUGAUGGUAGAUUUACUUUAAAAUCAGCUUGAAGGAGUAUCUGAUCUGUUCAACUGCUGUUGGGGAUUUGGGUGGCUGUUUAGAGUAAACUUUUGCUCCUAAAAAUAUCUAUCUUCUAUUGGUGAUUUUUGCAAGUGCUAAUGCUGUGAGGUGGUUGAAACUUGGGAUCACCUUUUCUUUAAUGGAGAUAUUGCGAAGGAGGUAUGGAUUUAUUUUGCGCACUUGUUUCGGGUUUAUAAUUAUAAAAAUUUUGAAAAUUGGAAAGUUAGUGUGGGGUGGUCUCAUCAAGGCCAUAUCAGAGAGGCAAUCCCGUUUUUGAUUGUGUGGUUUUUAUGGGUUGCUCGAAAUGAUUCUAAGGAUCGAAGUCUUCGGAUGUCUGUGCCUAAAAUUAUUAGGGAAAUCUAUAGUACAUACAGUAUAGCAGAGUUGCUGAGUUAAUUAAAGAUUAUCACUGGAAAAUGUAUCUUUCGGUUGCUCAAUUUUUAUGGGUUUAUGUACAGAUCAAAUCUGCUUAUACCAUCACGGCGGUGUGUUGGAGAAGGCUGGCUGUGGGGGUUUAUAAGCUAAACACGGAUGAGUGUUCAAAAGGAGCAGGGAUCUCCUGAUCCCUACUUUUGUGGACUAGAAGAUGGACCACAUAGAAUUACGGUCGGAUCAUGACCGCGAUCCGGCCGCAAAUGGUUGCGAUUCCUUCCUGGGUUCACCAUCCCCACCAAGUUAUAGUUUUUGUUCGGAACGGACGGCCGAAGGCUGCCCGGAGGCCUCUGGUGGUGGAUAAGGGGCCAGGUUACUAGGCGCUGAGCGAGGGUGUCCUCCGGGCGGCCUCCGGUCGUCCGCUUCGAAUAAAAACUAUAACCUGGUGGGAACGGUGAACCCAAGAAGGGAUCGCAACCAUUUGCGGCCGGAUCGCGGUCAUGAUCCGACCGUAAUUCUAUGUGAUCCAUCCCCUGGUCCACAAAAAUAGGGACCAGAAGAUCCUGCCUGGUUCAAAAGGGAAUUCAGGUGUUUCGUCUUAUAAAGCCAUUAUUAGGGAUCAUGCUGGGCAAGUUAUAAGAGCCAUGCAUGGCACCAUUAGUGUGGGUAACAAUCUUUGAGCUGAGUUACGUUGUUCUCUGUUUGGAAGGGAUUGGAGUUAUGUGUUGACAAUCAGUUACUUUCUCUUUGGCUUGAAUAAGAUUCUUUGGCAGCAUUGGUGCUUAUUGGGUCUUUUCAUAUAGGCUGGGAGCUUUGUCAGUUGGUAAUGAAAAUCAAGAAUCUCAUUUUUAAAUAUCAUAUUUAUUAUUCACACAUUUGCAAAGAGGCUAAUUCGACAGUUGAUUACCUUGCGAAUCGAGCCUUUAAUUUUGAAGGGGGGAGAGUAUUGUUUAGACAAAAUAUGGGCCAGGUACUCUAUGGAAUUUGCAAAUUGGAGAGGAUCGGCCUUCCAUAGGUUCGGGUUUCUUGUAAAUCAAUAUAGACAGGCUCAAAAUUUGGAGGCACACAUCAUUGUUUGGGGCAAAAAGGAGGUUUAGGAGGUGCUUUAAGUGGAUGUGCAGAAGGCUUAUUGUGUUCAUUAUGUAGCUCCUGCUGUAUAUUUGUUGCUGGAGAAUAGUAACUUUAGAUUGGGUGUCACAAUAGUUGCUAUGGAUUUGUUGAAUCUGGUGUGUAUUUGUUCUGCUGGCGUGGAAUUCUGGAGAAAGUAGGAUGUGAUCUAUAUAUCUUUAGACUUGAAGAGAAAUUCAACAAUUCUGUGGCAAGGUUUCUCUGGAUAUUGAAUUCAAUUUUCAUUGAGGAGUGGCAAAUAAUUUUAGAACCUCUUGAACUACGUUAGAUGUUGCUCUAAAUGCUAGGUUUCAAAUUAGCUACACUCGGAUUUUGAUGUGGGUCGGUGGAUAUGUGAUAUAGGAAAUUAAGAAUCCAUUUGUGGUGCUUGGGUCUUCUGUUUCCCUUGUUAGCCUAAUAAUUAUUGAGCUGUAUUUUGAGAAGGCUGUAUUGAGAGAUUACAGAAGGUUUUAGAAGACAAAAUUAAGAAAAUUCAUCUCAGUUGUUUGAAAUUGGUGUGGUUUUUCUGAAGAAGCUAGCGUAAAGCAGAUUGGUGCUGGAUCAAAUGCUAUUGGUGCUGUGGAUUUCUGGCAUGUUUGUGAUUAGCGUAUUUGAUUUUUCAGGUUAGUGCAUUGUGGUGAUUUGUUUGUGGUGACAUCAGUUCAUUCUAGGAGCUGAUACAAUUGUGAGAUCAGUUAUUUUAUGGAUUGAACUCGAAAUUCAUUUGAGUUAUUGUUGAUGGCCACAUGCUAGAUUUAUUUGUGUUGUUUUGUUGGUAUUGGUGUGGAUUCUUUGAAGAAGGCUUGUUUCCAUAUUGCAAAUUGCAAAUUUGAUAUCAUGAUGUUGAAGAUAGAUAGAAAUGCUAGUGGAGAUUCUGCAAAGUGAUGAUUCAGAUUCUUACUAAUGUUUUGGAAGUUUUGAAAUGGGUUUUAGAAGAUGCUUCAAAGUUGAGAUAUUAAAUCUUUGUUGAAUUAAAUGUUGGUGUGCUGCUUUAGGCGUGGCUCGCUAGCCACUAUUUGGUGUUUUAAAAGGUGGAUGGUUUUUGGAAGUUUGCAGGGCUGAUGUAAAGUCAGCCUUGGUGAUCUUCCAAAUUUGUUUGCUGUGCUUUGUGACUUAAUGUAGUCGGGAAAGACUCUGUGGAGGCCAAUUGUGGUUAGAGUUUUCUCAUAUUUGUGAGGGAAGAGAUAGAGAUGUAAUCAGUGGUGAGGUUGUUAAUAAGCCGUGUGUUCUUUUGUAAAUAAGUAUAGGAGUCUGUAAUACAUUUUAGGAAGCAAGGUUUGACCCUCCUCCUAAUAUGAUCUCUUUUUGUUAUGGAAUCCCCUGUAGGGGGUUAAAAAAAAUGCUAGCAACUUAGCUUUACUAUAAGCUUGGCCUCGGACAAUUUGGCCUUAAUUAGCCUCGGGUAUCUCAGUCUAGCCAUACAAGGCAGCAUAGUU